AGAAAUAGAAUAAGAACCUUGGUUAUCCCAUAAAUGCCAUAUAAUUAGCUUAUCUUCCUCGUAAAUGACAUAAUAACCUCAAUAUAACAUAAGUAUUACAAUUAUCUUAUCUUUCUUUUUGUCCUUCUCCUCCUUCUUCUUCUGCUUCUUCUUCUUCUUCUUAUUCUUCUUCUCCUUAUUCUUCUCCUUCUCCUUCUUGUUCUUCUCCUCCUUCUUGUUCUUCUCCUCCUUCUUCUUCUUCUCCUUCUCCUUCUUCUCCUUCUCCUUCUUCUUCUCCUCCUCC
rnacentral:lncRNA from 1 species